rnacentral:rRNA from 1 species
GACGAACGCUGGCGGCGUGCUUAACACAUGCAAGUCGAACGGAAAGGCCCUGCUUUUGUGGGGUGCUCGAGUGGCGAACGGGUGAGUAACACGUGAGUAACCUGCCCUUGACUUUGGGAUAACUUCAGGAAACUCGGGCUAAUACCGGAUAGGAGCUCCUGCUGCAUGGUGGGGGUUGGAAAGUUUCGGCGGUUGGGGAUGGACUCGCGGCUUAUCAGCUUGUUGGUGGGGUAGUGGCUUACCAAGGCUUUGACGGGUAGCCGGCCUGAGAGGGUGACCGGCCACAUUGGGACUGAGAUACGGCCCAGACUCCUACGGGAGGCAGCAGUGGGGAAUAUUGCACAAUGGGCGGAAGCCUGACGCAGCAACGCCGCGUGCGGGAUGACGGCCUUCGGGUUGUAAACCGCUUUCGCCUGUGACGAAGCGUGAGUGACGGUAAUGGGUAAAGAAGCACCGGCUAACUACGUG